AAAAAAGCAUCAUCUCAAAAAAGUUCCGAGUAUCUAAUGGAGAGUGAUGACAUUUCAAAAAGUAUACAAAAAAGAACAGAGAAUCCAUGUUGGGAUAUCUAAACUCUCCAAAAUGAAAGCUCCUCAGGAAGCCAUUUCUAAAGAAUUGGAGGAAUAUAAGCAACUCCUUCUAGAGGGAUUUGAAGAUUUGAGAAGAAAACAAGAUGAGAUCAUUCAGGUUGCAAAAGCUUUUUCAAAGCAAGUGAAUGAAGCUAAUGAAGUGUUAGCAGAGUUCAGAACUAAAAAUUUUCUCCUGGAGAAACAACAGACUGGAACAUUAACCAAGUCUGUUUCUACGCAAACUGUUUCUACGCAAACUUCGGUAGUGUCACAUAGCGUUGGAAAUCGUGCUAAUAGUUUCUGGCUCAGCAGAGAUCUUACUCCACAACAAAACUUGGAGACUCCUACUUCAGCAACUCAGGCUUCACAUCACAACACUGCAGAGUCUUUGGACACGUUUGCCCUUCAGGAUCUUGACACCUCAACUUUAUGGGAAAGAUGUUUUCAGAUCAUUGAAAAAUGUAGGAGUCAACAAUAUUUGCCUUCAUGCCAGAAUAAAGAAGUUUGGUGUCUUCUGCUUUUGAAAUGCUUUGGCUCAGCUUCCACAACAGACCUGAGUGUGAAGGAUCGAAUUGCAGCCAAGCCAGGUACAUUGAUACAACAUGGCUGCCCUGGACAUGACCUAUUGCAUUCAAGUUGCUUGAACACAUCAGAAGUCCCAUUGUUAAGGUUGACUGAUUGAAAUUUAUAUGUUACCAUGAAUAAAAAUUGUUUUUAUGUUGAACA
rnacentral:lncRNA from 1 species